rnacentral:rRNA from 1 species
UACGUAGGGGGGCAAGCGUUGUCCGGGAUUCAUUGGGGCGUAAAGAGCGUGUAGGCGGCCGGUAGGUCGGUUGUGAAAACUGGAGGCUCAACCUUCAGAGGUCGACCGAAACCAUCUGGCUAGAGUCCGGGAGAGGAGAGUGGAAUUCCUGGUGUAGCGGUGAAAUGCGCAGAUAUCAGGAAGAACACCCGUGGCGAAAGCGGCUCUCUGGACGGUACUGCGCUGAGACGCGAAAGCGUGGGGAGCGAACAGG